rnacentral:rRNA from 1 species
CCUACGGGAGGCAGCAGUGGGGGAUAUUGCACAAUGGGGGAAACCCUGAUGCAGCGACGCCGCGUGGGCGAAGAAGUAUUUCGGUAUGUAAAGCCCUAUCAGCAGGGAAGAAGAAAUGACGGUACCUGAGUAAGAAGCACCGGCUAAAUACGUGCCAGCAGCCGCGGUAAUACGUAUGGUGCAAGCGUUAUCCGGAUUUACUGGGUGUAAAGGGAGCGCAGGCGGCACGGCAAGCCUGAUGUGAAAGCCCGCGGCCCAACCGCGGGACUGCAUUGGGAACUACCGGGCUGGAGUGCCGGAGAGGUAGGCGGAAUUCCUAGUUUAGCGGUGAAAUGCGUAGAUAUUAGGAGGAACACCAGUGGCGAAGGCGGCCUACUGGACGGUGACUGACGCUGAGGCUCGAAAGCGUGGGGAGCGAACAGGA